AGUGAACGCUGGCGGCGUGCCUAAUACAUGCAAGUCGAACGGAGAUUAAGUAGCUUGCUAUUUAAUCUUAGUGGCGCACGGGUGAGUAAUAUAUAGCUAACUUGCCCAUUACUAAGGGACAACAGUUGGAAACGACUGCUAAUACCUUAUACUCCGUAUCUAUAUAAGUAGAUACGGGAAAGUUUUUCGGUAAUGGAUAGGGCUAUAUCGUAUCAGCUAGUUGGUAAGGUAAUGGCUUACCAAGGCUAUGACGCGUAACUGGUCUGAGAGGAUGAUCAGUCACACUGGAACUGAGACACGGUCCAGACUCCUACGGGAGGCAGCAGUAGGGAAUAUUGCUCAAUGGGGGAAACCCUGAAGCAGCAACGCCGCGUGAAGGAUGACACUUUUCGGAGCGUAAACUCCUUUUCUUGGGAAAGAAUUAUGACGGUACCCAAGGAAUAAGCACCGGCUAACUCCGUG
rnacentral:rRNA from 1 species